rnacentral:lncRNA from 10 species
ACUGGGAAGGUCUGCAUCUCUGCUGAUCAUCCCCUGGAACUGCUGGAACUUUGCUAUAUAGGGGCCGUCCAAAAGGCAAAGUAUGGCUCUGAGAAGACAUGAGUCCUUGGCACCUGGCCCUCCGUCCCUGGCAGGGCCUGUGUUUGUUGAACUGCAAAAAGGCUGUGAGGACAGAGACUUGAUGACAUGGCAAGGUGUGAGGAGGCCUCCAACCACUGCCUCACCACUCGAAGACCCUCCUCUGCCAUCACCCGGGGAUACCUACGGAGGAAGUGCCAGGACAGGUCAGGGCUGA